rnacentral:rRNA from 1 species
UACAGAGGUCCCAAGCGUUGUUCGGAUUCAUUGGGCGUAAAGGGUGCGUAGGCGGCGCGGUAAGUCGGGUGUGAAAUCUCGGGGCUUAACUCCGAAACUGCAUUCGAUACUGCCGUGCUUGAGGACUGGAGAGGAGACUGGAAUUUACGGUGUAGCGGUGAAAUGCGUAGAUAUCGUAAGGAAGACCAGUGGCGAAGGCGGGUCUCUGGGACGGUACUGACGCUGAGGCACGAAGGCCAGGGGAGCAAACGGG